rnacentral:rRNA from 1 species
CCUACGAGAGGCUGCAGUGGGGGAUAUUGCACUAUGGGGGGAACCCUGAUGCAGCGACGCCGCGUGGGUGUAGGAGCGUUUCGGCGCGUAAAGCCCUAUCGGCAGGGAAGAAGAAGGACGGUACCUGACUAAGAAGCCCCGGCUAACUACGUGCCCGCAGCCGCGGUAAUACGUAGGGGGCAAGCGUUAUCCGGAUUUACUGGGUGUAAAGGGGGCGCAGACGGCAGCGCAAGCCAGGAGUGAAAGCCCGGGGCCCAACCCCGGGACUGCUCUUGGAACUGCGCGGCGGGAGUGCAGGAGGGGCAGGCGGAAUUCCUGGUGGAGCGGUGAAAUGCGUAGAUAGCAGGAGGAACACCGGUGGCGAAGGCGGCCUGCUGGACAGCGACUGACGUUGAGGCCCGAAAGCGUGGGGAGCAAACAGGAUUAGAUACCCUGGUAGUC